CCCCCCGCUGCUGGCUGGGAUGUAGACGGAAGCGAUGGCGCUGGAACAGCCGUCUCGGACCUUGGGCUGGAGGCCCCGUUUGUGGACAGCAGAGGCGUGAGGCAGACGUGAGGCCGGGGAAGAGCCCACACUGCCUGUCUCCAGUUUUAAGUGAGAAAUAGGUUUCUGUCUUAAGUGUUACUUUGUUUUUUCUGUUGCUGCAGCCUGAGUUCCUCUCCGUACAGUGUAUUUUUGGGCAUCCUUCGUGGUUGUUUCCCUGGGCAUGGUAUUUGAGAUGUACUAGUUCAGCGCGUACAUAUGUGCUCCUUUCCCUGCGAAGCAAUGAAGCUGGUGCGAUAGGUGCUGAUACAUCCAGCGGUUCCAGAUGCUGUUGCUACUCAAAAAUUCACCCCAUUUUAUGAUGCUUACACAAGCCAUGGUCCGGAAUUUGGGUAGAGCCAGUGGGGACAGCUUUUCUCUGCCGCAGGGUCGGGCUCAGGUGAAGCACUUGAAGGCUGGGUUCUGCACGCUGGCCCAGGGGCAGGGAACAUCUGGGGGCAUCUUUAUGGGUCUGGAGGUUGGUGGUGGCUGUGAGCCAGCUCUCCCAGGUUGCUGGUGGGAACAGCUGCGUUUGUGACAUCUGGUGGUCUCUUGAGGCCCAUCUGAGCCUUUGCGGCCUGGCAGCUGUGUCCUGAGACAGGCCUCCCUGGGGAGCCAGGGCAGAGCGCGGUGGUGUUAUGCCUGGUCCUGGGAAUCACAGUGUCGCUUGUCCCUUGGUCUCGGUUGAAGCAGUCACCAAGGUCCCCCUGAGUUCCGAGGGAGGGGAUGUAGCAGCCGUCUGUGGAAAGUAAAAUCUGCCACACACACUUUCAUUCUUUCAUCAAGAUGGAAAAACUGUUUGAAAGAGACCACGGGUAGCAAGUGGUAUUUUCCCUGAUGAGCCUGGAGCACAGGUGAACUGGCUGAAUGGUGCCAUGAAAGGAGCCCCCAGCAUACCUGUUAGGUCCACACCUUUGAAAGGUGUGUGUGUGUUGAGGUGAUGGCACAUGCAGUCCGCCCAUGCUGUAGGUACUCUGAUCCUUUGAAUUUGUAGAACUCUCUAGAGCUCGUCCAAAGUUCUGUCAUAUGUAUCACCUUGUUUGCUUCUCCCCAGUAACCUUGAGAGGGAGGAGAGACCACAGGUAACCUCGUGUUACAGGUGUGUGACCAGGACGGAGAUGAGAGAUGGUUUACUGCAAGUUGUAAGCCUGGAGCCAGCGAUGCUCCCCCACCCACCCCUGGUCUCCUGUGCCCCCCACCAGCUCCCUGCUCACCUGAAGCCAUGUGGUCAGCUAUGGCCCAUGUGACAGUGGAGGUGAGCUGUGUCACUCCUGAGUGUGGAAAGUGCAACUGAUGGGAGAUCCCUGCGUCUUUCUUUACUUUUGUGGCAGCCAGUGGUGCUUGAGACAGCGGCUUGUAGAGCAGAGCUCCCACCAGCUCCCGUUGGACGUGCGACGCAGAUAGUUGUUGAAAUUCGACAGUGCCGUGGACCAGUUCCUCAGGGCAUCGCACAGCAGGCAGUGCCCGACUGCGGUGCCUGAGAGAGAAAGGGAUAAAAAUGACGUCAGCCUUACUUUGCCCUGGCUUCUGCCUGGAGGCAGUUUCUGACAACAGGACCUGGGAGGAGGACCCCAAAGAGAGGCUGGCGUCCUCUCUGACUUGUGGACUCAAAGGUGAUCCAGAGAAGCCAGCCCAGGGUAAGUGGGGUGAUCUGAGAAAACACUGCCUGUCCUGGGACCCCUUCCCUGGGAGAAGGGGAAACUCGGGGGCCAGGGUGGGGGCAGGGGGAGCUGCCAUGAUGUCACAUCCUGGGCCCUCAGCCUGUUGAGCAGGGGUUGUUUGUGUGUAUGGCCCUCCCAGGAAGGCAGAAUUAGGACGGCUGGAUGGGAAUUAGACAAGCUUUGGGCCAAGCCUGAGGAAACACUUUCCAACAGUCAUGACUGGUCAGGCUGGGCCCAUGAAGGAGCCAAGCAAGCGCUGUGCCAGGUUGUUGCAGUGGGCAGGGCUGGGCUAAGUGCUGUGCAGGGCCCGGUCUCAAGGUGGUUUAUCGUGUGGUUUUAUAGCCUGAUGUCCAUAAGAGGCGGGUGACAGUGGCGUGUGUUUUUUAAGCAUGUUGGGAAAAGGAAAAGCCCCUGAAAGCCCCACCCCAUAAAGGGUCAGAGCACGUAAGGUUUAGGUACAGUGGUCUCCCCACACAUCCUGUGAAGUUAUAUUUUUAUUUGAUUCCUCACCUCUGUGGGUUUCUGCCUGAAGGCAGGGGCCGCGUCCUCCCCUGCUUGACCUGGAGAAGGGCCCUGAGCAGCCCUCCCCGCUGUGCCCCUGGCAGACGUCGCUAGUCAGUCACCGAGCUCUCUUCCCCUGAGCUCCGUCUCAGCCCUGGUUCUACACAGUCGCUUCUAAUUAGUUAGAGCUCGUUGGGACAGUGUUUAACUAUUUGCCAUCCCGGGGCUGAAGGAACGCUGAGGAGUCAGUGAGGCACAGUAACAUCCUGUCUCGGAAAACACGGUCUGUUUUCCACCAGCUGCCGGGAAGCCCAGCUGUCAUCUGCCAUCCAGACGCGGGAGCUAUGUGGGCACUGGCGACGUGCUGGUGGUCGGGCGGAGCGCCAGGGGGGACAUUUUGGGGGCAGUGAAUGCUCGGGAUGCCUUGUUGCUGGUGUAGUGAGAAGGCUUUUGAGCUUGGAUGUGAUGCCGUAGCGUCCAGGGCUGCAGCAUGUAGGGCAGCUCUUGGGAAGUGACACAUCAUCACACGCCUUAUUUUGGGGGUGGAGCCUGAUGCUACGUUGGCCUCACCUCCGGGGUCCUCGGUGGGCACCUGCAGGUGUUCUUCUUGGCUGAGGAUUAUCUUCAGCGUCAUCUGUGGUGCAGGGGAAGGAGGAGUGGGGGGCCCAGCUCUGCGCUCCCAAUCUGUCUCUGCCCCUUAGCGGCUGAGCAGCCUGGCUUCCGCCUCUUUAAGGAGGAGGUGGCAGUGUCCACCUCAGGGUGGUUAGCUGGAGAUGGGGUGAGAGACCUAGGUGGGGUGUCAAGCAGGUCGUAGUCCCAGCGACCAGCGCUUACACGCGCUUCACUGUGCCGUGCGCGGCUCCGGGAGGUGUCGUUAACACAGAGAUUAAUUCAUUUAAUGCUCACAACAGCGCACGAGGCUCUGUGAGUAUCACCCUAAUUGGGUAAGCCGGGGAAACUGAGGCAGAGGGUCACACAGCUAGCACCUGGUAGAGACCCGGAGCCUGUGCUCUUAGCCGCUGUGCUUUGCUCCUCAUGGAGGCCAGUCCCCAUCUCGUCCCCGUGGUCCCCGUCCCACCCGCAUGGCCACCAACACUUGUGGCCACCUGUUCUGUGCAAGAUGCUGAGUUAGGUGCCGGGCAGGUACACGGGUUGAUGAGACUGCAUUUGGGAGUGAAUGAACAGGGGCGUGAGACUGAGUAGGAUGCAGUUUGGGGGAAGGUUCGUAAUCGGUGUGGGGUGAUGGGACAGGGAGAGAAGUCCAAGUAAGUGAACAGGAGGGUCCCAUGGGAAUGACCAGCACGCAGCGUCCUCCUGGAAAUGUCGGCGGGAGGGCAUUAGGUUGGUGCUGUCAUUGACAGAGCAGCCUUGCCUGAGUCUGCUGGGUUGGACUGACUCACAGGGGCUCGAUUGGCCCUCGGUGAGUGGUUGGUGCUGCGCUUCUGAACCUGCACACCUGGGGCGAGAUGCCCAGCCUUCCGCUCCCUCCGGGUGGCACACCUGAGAUGCCCAGGCAGGCAGGCAGGCAGGCCCCUCUGUUUUAUGCUGGACUCCAGGCAUUGGUGUACCUGUUUCAGUUCUCGGCAUCAUGAACUUUUGCCUUUCCAUGCCCCCAGACGUGUGUUGGUGUGACUUAGGGGAAGGCGGCAUGGGGGUGGCAACACCCAUGGGUCCCUUUCACCUGUUUCAGACCACUUAGAAAUCUCUGCUCAGGUCUUGCUGCGAAAAGGCGGGCAGUUCCAAGCACUAGGCAUUAGGCAGAUGCCAGCUCCUGGUUGAAAAGAACCUUUUGUCCUGCUGGUUGAUGGUGGGAAAGUGAAUCCUCCGAACUGUCAGAAGGAAAAGAAAGUAUGUUACCUUUUUGCUCUGAAAACAUGACUUGGAAGAUUUAAAAGUGGUAAAUUUUAGUCUUCUGGGUAGCAUCUUGGCCGUUUGGAUAAAAUCUUAGGGCUUUUGGGGCCCUGAUGUUCCAUGCCCCCAGUUGAGGCCUGAACACCCUCUGUCUUUCUUAUUAUUUCCAGUAGUGAAAAUCCAAAUAAAGAAAAUGCAUAACUGUUUUAAAGAAGAAAUACCCAAUUGUUUUCACAUAGAAAGUUUCUUAAGCUUAAAAUCCAGUCCACUUGCAGGAUAUUUUUAGUCUCUUGAGAAUGUUCCAGAUUGCUGACUCAGUCAGCACAGGCUCUUAAAAAUGCAUGUUUUUAAACCCCACAAUGUGACAUUGUCUCAGCUCCUUGCCGUUUGAGUCUGACCGUCCAGUCCCAAGUCGGCCUUGGUUUCCUAGGGGCUGUUCUCAGCCAUUCUGAGCGUCCAACACCCUCCAACUCAAAUCUGAUGACAGAGCAAGUUCCUGGCAUAGCGGGGAGAAGAGGACCGUGAUGGCGUGAGAGGAACAGAAGGCUACUGUGUUCACGGCACCCGCGGCCCUGGGGCCCCUGCGCUGGUGGCAGUCAGCACCCUGCUGUGCAGAGGGAGAACCGAGCCUGGGAAGGAGCACGCCCAGGCCUCAUGCUGCCCUCUGCCACCUGAGCAGGACAGUGGGUGGUCAGCUCCCUGGAGUCGCUGUAGCUCCUAAUCUGGACUCCCUCCUUUGGUGGCACUGGCUUGCUGGGCACGCAUGGUGCUUUAGGAGGUGGUCAGCAGGGAGCGUGACCCCAUAUUUCCCAACGGGAGCUAUGCUGCAGUAGUAGAGAGAUCUUGGUGGUCGUCUGUGAGCCUCUCUCUGUUUCUCCUUACCUACUGUCUGUCUGUAAUGUUUUCCAGCACUCAGCAUGCGCAGCAGAGGGCAGGUUCAGACGGUAGCCACACAGGUUGCUUCCCGCUCGGGGGCUGGAUACCGCCGGAGGGACCAUGUGGUCUUUUUUUAUGCGCCCCAGAGCAUCGCAGGGGUUGUGUGGGCCGUCAUGGUCACUGGUGCUGGCGAGUCCCCCCUGGAGCCUUGGCCUCUCUGAGCCACUUCAGGGAACGUCCCUUUGGGGGUCCCAGGAAAACAGACAGAACCUGGUCUAGAAAGAAAAACCUUAAAAUCUUGUGGUUUCUGAAUGUCAGGGCGUGGAUCCAGCCUGAUGGAGAGACACUGUGGCAAAGGUCUGACACGCGAGACCUGUCCGCUGCCCGUAUGUCGUCCCUAGUGUCCUCCUGAUCCCAGUCCCUUUGCCCUACAGCCCACCUCCCAAGGGAAGCAGAGGCGGCGGCUCAGGGGUCUUUGCGGCGCUGUCAGUAACCACUGUUCAUGUCAGUAGUUCUCCGGGUGGGGCCCAGGGCCAGCAUUGGCAGCACCUGGGGGUCCGGAGGAGUGCGGGUCUGGACCCACCCUCUGAAGAUGGUCCAGGGGCCUUGUCUUUAUUUAUUUAUUUGUCUUUUUAGG